rnacentral:lncRNA from 1 species
CUCGCACCGGAGGUGUGCUGUAAUUAUGUUCAAAAGCCACAUUCGGAGUUUCUGGUUCCUCACAUCUCUGCCAAGGGGCACUGUCAUGGCAGCUGCGGCUUGGCCUCCCAAGGAGAGCCCCAGGUGAGCCUCCUGGAGGCCAGGCAGCCUGGCCAAAGCCUGGAAGCAGCACCCCAGCUCAGCAGUGCCCAGCUGAGCCUUUUGGGUUGCCAUGGUGACAACCCCAGUGCAAGUGUCACCAGGAAGGGGAUCUGAAACAAUUUUUGCUCCAGAAAUGAAGAUCUGGUGAUGCCAACAACAAGGACGGGAUAAUUUUGUUGUUGUCAUCAAGGAACUGCUGACUGAAUUUUCUCAUUAGCCAGCUGUACAUUUUAAAAUAAAUUCAGGUUCAAGGGGAUCACUGCUCUGCCAAGGGAAGUGAAGGGCCCCAGUCCCUCAGGGGUCCUCCAUCUUCCCUCAGCUUGGAGUGUCCUCAGAUGUGUGCCUCCAGCUCUUCCUGGCUGCGGAUCAACUCCAGCUGGAGCCCUAGGCUUUGUCUUUUUUCCUGAUUCUAACCUUAACACUGGCCCAUAUUCACUUCUAACCCUGACAUAAAUGCACAGAUGUUGCCCAAGAAAAGGGUGGAAUGCAAAAGUAUUCUCACUUGAGUACUUGUUUACAAGAGCUGUGGCUGAAGGACUGGUGCUAACACUCAGGUUUUGCCAAGUUAUGUUAUACAUGUGAGGUUACUGUGACAGGUAGAAGCAGCGAAUGGGGCUGAAAAGGAAGGAGUGAUCUACACCGAAGUCUCAGGAGAAAUGUCUUCUGAUACCUUGGUCAAAAGGGACAUAGUGGAAGGAUGUCACGAGGACACAAGAACAAUUGUACUGGGUCAAAGAUACACCCAGUCCUGUAUCCUGUCUCUGACAGUGGCCAACACUAUCUCAGAAGAAAAGCAGCAAGAGCAGUUCCAGGAAAGCUGAUCUCUCCUGAAGUGUACCAGAAUUCCUGGAUGUCGCUGAGUGCAGAAGCCAGCAGAUGUCAAGAAGAAAGAAUAGCUUCAAGCCUUUAUGAAAAGGUCUGGACGCUAGCAGUGAUGGGAGCCAGACAAAAAAAAAAAAUAAAAAAAAAAGAGAGAGAGAGAGAGAACUUAUUAAAUUUCUAGAUCCAGCAGUUUAAAUCAGUUUAAAUAUCCAAUUUAUAUUAAAGCACUAGAAUCUUAAAUUUUGUGUAGCUGUUAUGUCACUCCUUUGCUUUGCUGUUUCCCCAGUCAGAGGUGAUAGACCUGCGUUAUCUCAGAUUAUCAUGGCAAUAUCUGAAGUAUUUUUUAUCUGGGAAGUGACUCACUGUUUUGCAAAUUUAUGAGACAUCAAAAUGAAUGCAUGCAUCAGCUAAGGACAAAGUGAUUUCAAAGAGCUUUUCUGUGCAGAGUGAACAGAAACAGGAUGACUGUUUUUUAACUCAGUGUUAGCUGAUAAACUCAAAUAUUUUACAAGCAUCUUUAAGAGAUACUGAAAAAUAUAGCUAUAUUUUCUCCCUUGCUUUUUCUUUUCUGUUAUGAAAACAGAAUUAUAGUACUUGUCUGCUCUAACUAAAGCUGAUCUAAAAAGAGAAAAAAAAACCACUAAGUUUCUCCUUCCAAAUCUUUAUGACUUUAUUUCAAAUUUUAAAAAUCUUCUAAAACAUACGAACACUUUCAAAACCAAACAUAAAUUCCAGAUGUUAUGUAGGCCUCCCAGAACUGAAUUAUCUACUGACCGUGUUUUGUAGAGACAGAUAACUACCUCUGCACUGGCAUGCAAUGAGCAGCCGUUCAGCAAUCGUAUUUAGGUCCCAAAAAUGUCUGGCAAAUCUUAGUAGCGACAUGAAAAAAAAAAGGAGGAAGAAGGCAAAAGUACAUGUCAAUAGCCAGGAGAUGAUGGGUCGAGACAGACACUAAGGUUUUACUAAAAAGCAAAAGCAGCUAUUUGUUCCAUGUUCACUGCUACUUGCUGGUUCUGGCUCAGCUGGAGCUUUGUGGACGACUCUCUCAGGACUUUCCUUAGCACAGCUAAAGUAAGGCAGAUGUCACCUGUUCAUCCACUUUUGAGGUGAAAACCAGAUACACAGUGAACUCUCUAGUCAUAUCUUGUGAGAGAGGUCAGGGUGCUGCAUGCACCUCUGGAACCCCUGUUUUGCUGGAAGCACGAGGCUGGAAGCUGUGUGCCACUUCUCACAUAGCAGGACCACUCUGGAUACAGCUUGUGUAAUGUCAUCUUGAAAGUCAGGGCUUUCCUAGGCACAGCCAUGGUGAGAUAGGUGCAGGCUUAAAAUGCUGUGGUGCUAUUGGCAUUAUGGCAACAAACUGGUAAGUGAGGAGCAGGAAGUACAGCUUGAAAGGUCUUGCAGAAGGCCUAUGUGCCAGUGCCAUGCCUUGUGUAUGGACAGAAACAAAACCCUGGAGUGCUAUCACUCAGCCCUUGGCAGGGAAUUUACAAGGAGGUGUAGAUGAGCUUUACCCAGACAUAAUUCAAACAUAAUAGCAGUAAGUAAUGCACAUACAAAAGAUAUCAGGGCUCAAAUUUAAAGACAGUUUUUCAGAAGUAUGAAAAACUUUUUAUAGAUAAUGUGGUAGAAAAGGCAAUGGGAAAAGAGACCAGGAAUGGGUCUUAUCUCCCUGUGCACACAGAUGGGCUUCUGUCAAAAUGCAGGCAUUGCACUCUGUGUGUAGUACAUCAAGGUACUCAAUUCCUUGGAUGUCUUGACUUUGCAUUUACAACCCUCUUUAAUUUCAUAGCAUAGGUGUUUAUAGGCAUAUAAUUAAAAAUAACACAUUAGAACAAUGAAUUAUAAUGGCACCUCAGUUUUCCCAGACCAUAUAAAUUAAUCACUUCUCAUCCUCCUCUGACCUUGUUUCAGUAAGUAGAUAGGAUAAAUUCAUUUGACAUUUACUCUUUGCCAGUUUCACUUCCUGAACAUCCUCUACAAAGCAGCAGAUUAAUUCUUCAGGGUUAAAGUGUGAUGUAGACAACACAGCUGUACAAGAGACUGAGAGGAUAAGAAACUCUCUUGCCACAUGCUCCACCAACCACCAAAAUAUCAGUAGCAAGAUCUAGCAAGCCGUCUUGCUGCCAGCCUGCAGCAGAUGGGGAAGGAGAUAACAGCUGAUUUCAGUUCUUUCCUUGGAGCAUCACAUCUUCAACAGAAAAUUGCUACUUUCCUCUCCGUGCCUUGUUUUGGGGUGGGGACAGGGUGGAAAAGGGGGCAGUGCCUUUGAAGGACUGCACAGAUCAUUGCUCAGAGCUUUCCCUAACCUCAGAACAAGCAUUGCGCACUUGAGCAUGACUUGAAUACACCUUAAAAGUAAGGAGAAAAAAAAAUAUGACAGUAGAGGCCUAAUAGAAACCAUUCUAACAGAAAUAAUAAUUGGAUGCCACUUUAAAACUGAUGAGACCCUAGUAAUACUCUUCAUUUUGUCUUUCUGAUAUUGCUUGGGAAAAGGACUGCAAUAUGUAAUAAACUAUUAACAAUACAGAAGAGAGAAAAAAAA